rnacentral:tRNA from 1 species
UUAAUUGAAACCAAUCAGCGGUUUAUUAUUGUUAAUAAUAUCAUUGAAUACUUUUAUUCCAAUUAGA